rnacentral:rRNA from 1 species
AGUGGGGAAUCUUGCCCAAUGGGCGAAAGCCUGAGGCAGCGACGCCGCGUGAGGGAAGAAGGCCUUCGGGUUGUAAACCUCUUUCAGGAGGGACGAAGCUACUCGGGUUAACAGCCCAGAGGGUGACGGUACCUCCAGAAGAAGCCCCGGCUAACUACGUGCCAGCAGCCGCGGUAAUACGUAGGGGGCAAGCGUUGUCCGGAUUUACUGGGCGUAAAGAGCGUGUAGGCGGCCAGGCAGGUCUGUUGUGAAAACUGGAGGCUUAACCUCCAGACGUCGACAGAAACCGCUUGGCUAGAGUCCGGAAGAGGAGAGUGGAAUUCCUGGUGUAGCGGUGAAAUGCGCAGAUAUCAGGAAGAACACCAAUGGCGAAGGCAGCUCUCUGGGACGGUACUGACGCUGAGACGCGAAAGCGUGGGGAGCGAA